GACGUAGGGCGCGAGCGUUGUCCGGAUUUAUUGGGCGUAAAGAGCUCGUAGGCGGCCUGUUGCGUCGACUGUGAAAACCCGCGGCUCAACCGUGUGGUCUGCAGUCGAUACGGGCAGGCUAGAUUUCGGUAGGGGAGACUGGAAUUCCUGGUGUAGCGGUGAAAUGCGCAGAUAUCAGGAGGAACACCGGUGGCGAAGGCGGGUCUCUGGGCCGAUAUUGACGCUGAGGAGCGAAAGCGUGGGGAGCGAACAGG
rnacentral:rRNA from 1 species